GUAAUAUAAGAUACGGUCUCUUAGCUUUUAACUAAAAAAAACUAAGAGACAUCUCUUAAAUAAGAGAUAUAAGAAACGUUUCUUAGUUUUUUUAGUUAAAAACUAAGAGACCGUAUCUUAUAUUAC
rfam:Brassica napus, WGS project CCCW01000000 data, contig: 15320